rnacentral:rRNA from 1 species
AGCAGCCGCGGUAAUUCCAGCUCCAAUAGCGUAUAUUAAAGUUGUUGCAGUUAAAAAGCUCGUAGUUGAAUUUCGGGGCCAGUAGGUUGGUCGUGCCACUGGUAUGCACUGGCCUUAUUGGUCUCUCCCUCCUGAAGAACCGUGAUGCCAUUAAUUUGGUGUUGCGGUGAGGCAGGACUGUUACUUUGAAAAAAUUAGAGUGCUUAAAGCAGGCUAACGCUUGAAUACAUUAGCAUGGAAUAACGGAAUAGGACGCUUGAUUCUAUUUUGUUGGUUUCUAGGAUCAACGUAAUGAUUAAUAGGGAUAGUUGGGGGCAUUAGUAUUCAAUUGUCAGAGGUGAAAUUCUUGGAUUUAUUGAAGACUAACUACUGCGAAAGCAUUUGCCAAGGAUGUUUUCAUUAAUCAAGAACGAAAGUUAGGGGAUCGAAGACGAUCAGAUACCGUCGUAGUCUUAACCAUAAACUAUGCCGACUAGGGAUCGGAUGAAGUUAAUUUUUUAAUGACUCAUUCGGCGUCUUACG